AGCCUGAACGCUGGCGGCGUGGCUAAGACAUGCAAGUCGAACGGGCCUAGCAAUAGGUCAGUGGCGGACGGGUGAGUAAAGUAUCGCUAAUGUACCCUAGAGCCAGGGAUAGCUGCCCGAAAGGGCAGGUAAUACCUGAUGAAAUAACCUUUUCGCAUGAAGAGGUUCUCAAAGCAGCAAUGCACUCCUGGAGCAGGCGAUAUCGUAUCAGCUAGUUGGUGAGGUAACGGCUCACCAAGGCGACGACGCGUAGCCGGGCUGAGAGGUUGGCCGGCCACAUUGGGACUGAGACACUGCCCAGACUCCUACGGGGGCUGCAGUAACGAAUCUUCCGCAAUGCACGAAAGUGUGACGGAGCGACGCCGCGUGUAGGAUGAAGUCCUUCGGGAUGUAAACUACGUGUACAGGGAAAGAAAGUUCAGUAAUCUACCCCCAGAGGAAACGGGACGGCCUAACUCCUGUGCCCAGCAGCCGAC
rnacentral:rRNA from 1 species